rnacentral:lncRNA from 1 species
AAGGAAUUUACUCAAAUGAGCAUUGGAACCAUCCAUUACAGAAAAAAAUAAGCUAACACCCAAGCUUUAAAUCCAAUAAAAACUUAAAUUUCACUUGAAAUUCAAUCAAUAAUUGUUUCUCUCUUCCCACUAAUGUUCAUUCUCUUCUUCCUUUCUCAAUUUUUGGUUCUAAAUAAUUGAAAUUGUCCAAGGAUUUUGCCCUUUUUGUGUUGUGGGAUUCAGCUGUCCAUAUUUAUAAUUCUGCCAUUAAAAAAUUUUGGACCAACUGUGAUCGCUGACUUUUUAUCACGAUCGCGCUCACAUGAUCACGUGGCAUCUUUGUGACUUUAACAAACUAACUGUGCUCGCGAUCGCAGUACUUGAGGGUCAAUUCUUGUGCUUGAACUUCAGCUUUGUUUCCUCUUCCAUCUCAUUUUAUCUUCACCCUCUUUGUAUCAACUCUUAUCUAUCAAGUUUCCUGCAAGAUCAUCUACGUUGGGAAUUAGCACAGUUUAAUAGAUAAUUAGCCUCACAUAUUAGAUUAUUUCAACAUAGUGUGCUUAAUUUUGGAUGUAAAUUAGUGGAAAAUUUUCCACUCAUCAAUACUUCAUCCUAAACAAGUAUUGAAAUACAUUCCACCACAAACAUAAAAUCAUUCUUUUUCCCCAAAGAAAUAAAUAAAGCAAAAAAAAUGUUAAGGAUACUCCAUGAGGCCCUCUAGGGCAUAGCUAGAAGCAUGUGCUUAAUUUUCAUCAUGGAUCACGCUACUCCUCACUUAUGCCUAAACGUGCUCCUUAUAACCAUGUUUU